CAUGUAUGAUUGCGCGUUUGCGGUGUUGAUGCUUGGAGCAUUCCGGCGAGUUCGUGUACGCUGUUCGCUUGAAAGCUUCCUGCUUUUCUGCGUUCUUUGUGUGCUUCGCUGUGACAUCUUUGGAAUAUUCCUGCGUGUUGCUCGCUUUUUAUGGGCUUGUUGCCUCGAAGAUCGCCAUGAUCGCCUCCGACUCAGCGUCAUCAAAGAUUCAAAGUGAGCUGGGAGACGCCCCAGCUGGCACGCUAAAGGUUCACAUAGGUUGAAGGAGUGCACAUUGAGAAGGUUAUCCUGGCACAGCUUACCAUGGCCUGCCAUGGUGGACCAGGAAAGUUUGCAAGGGCCUUGCUUCACCAUGUGUUCACAGAGGAGGAGCUCAUGGGCCAUUUGGCCUUUGGAAAUAACACCAAGGGGCAAAAAGGGCUCUUGACCCCACCAGGGUCAGUGCUGUUAUAGGCUUCACGUGUCACAAGUUUCCUGGUACCAACAUGCCCUAUGUAAAGAACUCUGGCCUCGCUUCUCGCAUGGGACCAAUAGCCUCUCAAGAGCCCAAGUUGGACAGCUCAAACCAAAACACAAGUGUUGUGCUUUUGUAACUCUCGACAUUUUUAUGUUUUAUGUUAGUCUCCUGAAGGGCUCAAUUUGGAUUUCUCAAAUGAGCAUACAAAUGUUGUGCCUUUCUAUGCCUUGACAUUUUUAUGUUAAUUUUAUUUAUGCUAAUUAUGCAAGUCUCCUGAGAAGCCCACAUUGGAUUGCUUAAUCCAGAAUACAAGUGCUGUGCUUUGUUAUAGUUCACUACAUUUUUAUGUUAGUUUUUGAUAUGGUUCCAGUAAGGAUAGUGUUUCCUUAUUAAUAUAUUUUUUAAGUAUCUUAAGUCAUUUCAUGCCAAACCACCCAAUUUUGUCAAGAACUGUUCCACUAUGGCAAAGCAUUUCAAGUUUGCUUGAUUUUGAGUAGGUACAAUAAGAAAAUUUUUGAGAAAAUUUGCUUUCAUACAUACACUUGAGUCAUUCCAGGGCAACCAACCAGCGUUUUUUUGACCAUCACAGAUAUAGUUGAAACUCCGAACUCUUGCUCCCCAUUUAUUUUCCUUCGCAAAAAUUUUUUUGAAUUUUGGCAAAAAUUUAUUGUUCUUGCCCAGCUAAGCUAGAAGGCACUGAUACACGUUUCUUUUGAAAGGGAAAUUGUAUGAUCCAGAUAUUCAGAUGAUGUUCAUGUCAAGAGACAAGUGGUGUGACUGCCAAAAUUUGCAAAGUUUGAAUUUUCUUCUAAUGUAGGGAAAUACAGAAGGCACAAAAUAAAUAUAAAAUCAGACUGGUUGACUUGGGAUAGCUGCAAAAUAUUUCAAGCCUUGUAGGUUCAGUUGAUCAGCUAAAAAAACUGAAAGUUCCAAUUUUUUGCAAGAAGCUUCGUGUUGAAGGUAAAAAAUUAGCUUUGGAGGUUGGCACAAAAGUAUGUCGCCCAUCGUUACACAGCCCUACAUGUCUGCUAUGCAUGUGACAAGUAACAAAAAGGUAUUCUUUAAGUGCAAUAAAUUAUUUUCUCUAAUGUUCAUUUGUGGAUCACACAUACAGCAUAAAUAUAGCAUAAAUAUAUGAAGCCAUGUCAGCUAGCAAGGAAAGAUUGUUAAUAUAAUUAGCCACAAAAACUACUCAACAAACUGACUGCCUUUUUUAUCAUUGCGAAGGCAGGUGACGUCAAGCGCUACAGCUGCAGUCUCAACUUGUAUUUUUUUAACAUGAAUGCAAAAAGUGGUCGCCAGUGGUGUCUGACCACAUCAGACUGAACAAGGCAAAUAUGACUUUUAUAGGUGAACACGUUCUGGCUCUGAAACAGUGGUAGCAAACAACACCACAAGAAUUUGUUCACACUUAUGUAGGUUUUCAGUCUUAAUUAUGAAGGUGUUUUCUACUUGCAUCAUCAUUGGGCUCCAGGGAGCAGGGCACGAAGUGUCCUGCUCCCUCUGUGUUGCAUUGCAGUGCGACAUGCCCUUUAAAAUGCUUUGUAUGAACAAUAUCAGCGCUCUUCCUGGAUUUACUGUCUACAUAAUAGCCGAUAUUUCUUUUUGUAAACUGCAUGAAAGAUAUCUUUUAACACUGCAGGAUUCCCUCACAUAUUAAUACGUACGAGGUCUGUUAGAAAAGUAUUUGACUUUUUUUUGCAGACACCUGAUGAAUAUGAAACAAGCGCGUUUUCAUCAGCCACCCUUGAACCUUUUCGCGCAUGCACGAAUUUUUUCCCGCCUGCCAAUAGCGUGAAUUGCUGGGACGCAGCAUUUGAAUGAGGUAGUACACAGUGCUCUCGUCGUUUUUUUAUUGCAAGGAAAAUGGCGGAGCGACUGGAGCAGUGCUACUGCGUCAAAUUUUGCCAGAAACUGGGCGACAGCCACGUGGAAACCAUUCGGAAGAUUCAGACUGCUUUCGGUGACUGCGCUAUGAGCAGCACACAGAUUAAGGAGUGGUACAACCAGUUUAAAGACGACCACGCAUCGGUGGAGAGCGAGCCACGCUCCAGUCGGCCAUCAAUAUGCCGAAAUGACCAGGUCAUUGCCUAAGUGAACCCUGUGGUGAUGCGGGACCGUCGUGUGACUAUCCAAGAAAUUGUGGAAGAGGUGGGCAUCAGCACAUUUUAUCCACAUUCCAUUAUCACCGAAGAUUUGGCCAUGAAGAGAUUUGCCCCGAAAUUCGUUCCCAAGCUGCUCAUGGUGGAGCAAAAGCAACUUCGUGUUGAAGUCUCACAGACAUGCUGGAUUCCACAAACAGUGACCUCAACUUCACGAACACCAUAAUCACUGGUGACAAGUCUUGGAUGUAUGUUUAUGACCGGGAAACCAAAUCCCAGUCAUUACAGUGGAAGCAUUCCACGUCACCAACCAAAGACCGCUAAGUGCGCAUCAACGUUAAAGUGUUGCUGACUGCUUUCUUUGACUCCCGCAGUGUGGUACACCACGGGUACGCACCACAGGGUCAAACAAUCACUAAAGACUACUACAGGGAUGUCCUCCAUGGCCUAUGUGAUGCUGUGUGGCGCAAGAUACCAAAGUUGUCAACAGGAAAUUGGCGCAUCCAUCACGACAAUGCUUUUCUCGCACUUGAUUCAGACUCUUUUGGCGAAAAACCAGACUCCUGUAGUUCGACAGGCUCCUUACUCUCCUUAUAUGGCCGCCUGCGGCUUCUGGCUAUUUCCCAAAAUCAAGAGGCCAUUGAAAGAAGCACAAUUGCAGACAAGAGAAGACAUUAUGGCUGCAACGACAGCUGAGCUAAACUCCAUUCGGAAAGAGGCCUUCUCGGAAUGCUUCUAACAAUGGCAGCACCGCUGGGAGAAGUGGCUGGAGUCCCAAGGAGACUACUUUGAGAGUGAUUAGGUUUCCAACGCUCCAGUUAUCCCAGUUUUUUUUUUUUCUUCAGCCAAAGGUCGGAUACUUUUCUAACAGACCUCGUAUUGAUAUUUUAUGUGUAAUGGCUGUAUGGUUUACCUGGCCCACACCAAACACAAGCCUCGUUGCGUUAGAGCAUGUGUCCCUUGGCAAUAAAAUGCAGACACUAACACCGCUUCUCUGUCAUCUGUGUGGAGACGAAGCCAGCUUUGUGGUCUGCAUUCCCAGCCGGCAAGCAGUGCGCACAUCCGAGAAAAGUCGGUGCUGACAAAAUUUCAAAAAAGAAUUUCUCGCAUUUAAAAAUAAUGCCUUUUUUAACUUCACACAUGCAUAGCAGACAUGUAGAGCUAUCCAAUAAUGUAUCACAUACUUUUUGGCCAACCAUGAAAGCUGUUUUUUCCUUCAACAUGAAGCUUCUUGCAAAAGAUUAAAAUUUGUUUUUUUUUUACAGGCGAUUAGCUGAACCUUCAAAGCUUCACAUUUUUUUGCUAUACUAUGUCACCUGGGCUACCAUUCUGUAUUUAAUUUCUGUCCUGUGAAUUUUCGUUACGAAAAAAAAAACUAACGGAUUGCAAUUUGACUCAUUUUUGCCGGUGCCGAAAGCAAUUGAAGUAUUCAAAUAUUUAAAAAAUUGGCUAUUUUGGCAGUUGCAUCACUUCACCGUAUUUCCACGCACACCAUUUGAAGGCCUCGAUCAAUACAAUGUGCAUUUGAAGAAGAAUGUUGAUUGAUGUCCUCUAGCUCAGCUGAGCAGGAAAACUAAACUGUCACCAAAGUGCUACAAAAUAUCUGGCAAAAAUAAAUAAAAGUGGGUAACGAGUUUUGAACUCUAGUAAACAUAUAGUAAUGUUUCAGCUAUAUGUGUGCUGUCAAAAAAACGCUGGUCGAUUCGGCAUGGAAUCGCACACCUGCAAGUGCAUCUGUGCCAUUGUCAGAGUUCAAUAAAAACUGCAUUUGACAUAACUUUGUAAAAAUAACUUAUUGCUUUCUAAAAUACAUGAGUAAAAUUAAUAGGUAUAAGUCGGCUUAAAUUUAAAAUGCAACGAAAGAUCUCUGGUAAUGGCAUGAUGUGCCUUUCAUGUUUGCAUGAAACCAUAUCUUUUUCUGAAUUCUUUCGUUAUUUUUUUGUGGCAGUGAAUAAAAUUGUAAUGGAACUCUCACAAGGAGUAACUUUGAUUCCAGCACAUCACUAAUAGCUGUUUUUUUUCCAUAUAAAAAUCUGAAGUAGUUAAUAUGAAUAAGUCGCUUGAUAUGGAAUGACCUGCGCAGGAACGUUAUCAUGGCGGAAAACACAACUGGAUCAUGCAACAGCAAUGCAGCAUAAUAAAUUGCUCCCAUCAGCAUCACUUAUUGUGAUUGCCAUGUUUCAGAAGUAUGUAACGUUUACCGAAAUUGGCACAUACCAUUCAAGCAACAAAUAAGGAUUGUACAGUGAUCCUUUUUCAGUUUUACAGAUCUUUAAGUUGUCUGUGCCAGGUAGCAUAAUUUUUUUUCUUGAGCUGGAUUAUUCAGAGGUGGACAUUACUAGCACAAGAAAUGGAAACAUUAAACUGAUUCUCAUAAAUUUAUUAAUUCACUUAUCACAUCACGGCACAUAUUUCAGUUUGCAAAUUGUAGCCAGUGAUUUUGAAAGACAUAUUCACUUGAAAUUAAUUUCCAGGAUGACACCAGUUGCGAAAUUUUUCCAUAAAUGUGAGAAAUACAUGGGCAUUCCGGUUACUUUUGUGCUUCAAUGCAUAACAGUGCGUUCUGUUAAAAAAAAGUAAGUGCUACAGCAGUGCAUUUCUACAGCCAGUUUGAUGGCAUGUGUCUCGUUACUGGUGUCAUUCUGGAAGUUCGUUCUAAGUGCAUACACCUUGUAAAAUUACCGUCUACAAUUUGAAAAGCUUUAUUAGGAACUGAGUUUUUCUUAAUCAGCUGACUAUGGUGUCUUGAUUUCUCAUGCAAAUAAUGUUUGGCACUCUGUAUCUAGAAUUAUGUUAGCUGCAACAGUCCGUGUUUAAUAAAUUCCAUGAAACUUAAAGAUAACCACCCUGCAUAUCAGGUCUCAGUUGAGUGCUGUGGGCUCAAGCAAAUCGUGCCAUGGUAAUAGUACCACUGGCUCCCAAAUAGAGAAAGCAAGUGCCUUUUUUGAGUGCUCUUAUUAACAGUCAUGUCAGUCUGCUUCUACAUUUAAUUUAGGUAUUUAUUUUUAAAAAUUUAUUUCUUUUGAGAAAUGUGUUUUACUUGAGGGCCACACAGACUACAUCUUCAGUAUUCUGUUUUGUUAUGGUGUCAAGCUGCAGGAAGUUUGUACUGUGCAAUAGUUUUUAAGAAGUUUCUGAUGUGCUCAAACUACAAAUGGUUGUACAUUUACACAGAUGUUUGUUUACAAAUAAACAGUUCACCUAGAAAAA